rnacentral:lncRNA from 1 species
AAUAGACUAAAAUACCCCUUCUUAAAUAUUUGCAAUUUUCCAAAAACAAAAUCCUCUCUACUCUUUCUCUCACUAUGCUCUUGUCUCUCUCGCUCUAUUCUCUCUCUCUCUCUGGGCUGAUUCCGUUGCUCCAAUCGAUUGAGAGAGGCGACUCGAGAAUGAAGAGGACGAAGUCGGAAGCCAGUCGCCGGGAGUUACAGCGGCGGCAGCGAUUUCGGAUUUAAGAGGAAAAUUAGGGCUUGAUUCAAUUUGAUAAAUUGGGGGCGAAUUUAGAGGGAGAAGGAGAAUCUAGGCGAUGAGGCGUUUGAGGUUGAGAGAGAGGAGCGGGCGUGGAGCGACGCCCUCGGCUGGACGCGGCCUCGCUGGGGCCAUACGCGGUGGAGCUCGUGAGGAGACGGAGAGAGAAAGAGAUGUUGGGCGGCGUGUCUGAUUUUUGAGAGAGAGAGAGAAGAGCUCUCCCUCUCUACACUCUCUCUCCCCCUUUUUUUUCUCUUCCGGCAGCGGAUCUUCGUACUACGGCUGUGGCAGGAGGUGAGGGCGGCGGCUGAGGCGCAUUGCGGUGUGGCGCUCCUGCCGUGGUUGAACGCGAUCUCGAUCUCCACCUCUAGAGCUACGUUGUCGACGGCGCUGUCGUCGGAAGCGGAUCUGCUGCAAGCGGCGGUGAAGAUGCUGCUGGUGGUUGUCGUGAUGUCGAAUCCGGCGAUCUGUAAAUCGAAAUUUCAGAUUUGGAGCUGCCCAGCCAAGUCCGCCGGAGAGAAGGCGGUGGACGACGACGAGCUCGAGUACUUAGGGUCUCCGGUUGAUUAAUCUCGGUCAUUUAUUCUUUUUUGUCGAAUUUUGUGAUGUAUUGUCUUCUCAAACUAUUGGUUUGCUAUCCUUACAACUGUUGGAAAUAUGUGAAUUUCGAUUUUAUGGUGAUAUAUGUUGAUGAAAAUCGCUCAAUUUUGUUCAAAUGUUUUUGAAUUCACAACUGAAUUAUUAACAUUGGUUGUGAAUUCACAAUUGAAAUAGUGUUGGUUGUGAAUUCAAGUUUCGUUGGUUGUGAAUUCACAAUUUGAAAUAAUGUUGGUUGUGAAUUCACAACUUGAAAUAUUAUUGGGUGUGAAUUCAUGCGAAUUCACAACCGACACUUGUUAUUCACAACCAAUACGUGAAUUUAGUUGUGAAUUCGAUUUGAAUUCACAACCAAUAAACAGUGGAUAUUUGUAAAAAAUUUAUAUGUAAG